CAUAGGCUUACAUGCAAAACAGCUGAUCUUUGAAAAUAAAAAAAUAAAAAAAAUGCUACCUAGAAAAAAAAAUUCAUGUUCAUAUUAUGUAUGUACUAAUGUGAAAUUGUGAUUUAAUCGAAAAAAAGGGGUCAUUCCACGAAGAAUAAAAAGUUACGUAAACCGGAAGUCAAAUCAUUUUUUUUCUACUUACUGUUUGCUGUUUUUACUAGGCCGC
rnacentral:lncRNA from 1 species